rfam:Prunus persica cultivar Lovell chromosome G5, whole genome shotgun sequence.
GCCGAGCUAUGUUGCGCUAGCUUGUGACUCAAGCGAGGGCAUUGAAGUGGUAGAACUAUGGGUCAACUCAUCUGGCAGGGUUGGCAGUUGCAAUCUGCUGACUCGCCCAUUCCAAGUUGUGAGUUGGGUCAUGUGGUCCAUGCGAAGGCUUGGGCUGCGUGUCUCUUAGACCGGAGGGUACAGCGUGAGGCUGGUUUCACAGAGCAGCGAAAACCUCCCGCUCACGGCAGUGGAAGGAUAACGGGUCGGUGCUCCACCAACCCAAAUUGCCUGAUGGGUUGAGACCAGUUGAACCACCACUUCU